CCCUUAGAUGUCCUGGGCCGCACGCGCGCUACACUGAGUGUCUGAGAUACGAGUCUGCCUGGUCCGGCAAGGUCUAGGUAAUCGCUAAAAGACACAUCAUGCUUGGGAUAGAUUAUUGCAAAUAUUAAUCUUGAACGAGGAAUUCCUAGUAAGCGCAAGUCAACAGCUUGCGUUGAUUACGUCCCUGCCCUUUGUACACACCGCCCGUCGCUACUACCGAUUGAAUGGCUUAGUGAGGCCUUCGGACUGGCUCAGGGAGGUCGGCAACGACCACCCAGAGCCGGAAAGUUCGUCAAACUACGUCAUUUAGAGGAAGUAAAAGUCGUAACA
rnacentral:rRNA from 1 species